GAUAGCUGAGAGACAGAGGUCAAUCUUAAAAGGAAGACUGCCUUACCUGCAGGGGAAAGGGAUGGAUGACAUUGAGGUCAAUCCUGAAGAUGAAGUAGAAAUGAGUGAUGAUGAUUCCAGCGAAGAAACCAUUGCUGACCUACAUCAAUGCAAAGGCUCAACAACAGAGACUUCUAGGGACCAGACACUUCUGAGGCAAACACCAGAGUCAACCACCCUGGACAACAUGGAGGGCACUUCUGAGUCAACCACCUGGACAACAUGGAGGGCAC